GGUGAGCUACCCCGAGACAGCCUAUAUUAAUUUAGGGCUAACCCGUCUCUGUGGCAAAAGAGUGGGAAGAGCUCCGGGUAGAAGUGAAAGACCUACCGAACCUGGUGAUAGCUGGUUGACUGAGAAAUGGAUAGAAGUUCAGCCUCGCACACCCCAAACCAAAAAAUAUUAUCACCAAGAUAUUAAGGGAAACGUACGAGAGUUAGUUAAAAGGGGUACAGCCCUUUUAACAAAGGAUACAACCUUUACAGGAGGAUAAAGAUCAUAAUGUAUAAGAUAUACUGUUCUAGUGGGCCUGAAAGCAGCCACCUAAACAGAAAGCGUUAAAGCUCGGACAGAAGGAAGUUUAUUAUACUGAUAAAAAAUCUUAUUCCCCUAGCUAUAUCAGACCAACCCAUGCCUCCAUGGAAGAGAUUAUGCUAAAAUGAGUAAUAAGAAGACCCGCUCUUCUCCCAGCACAAGUGUAAACCAGAUCGGACUGACCACUGGAACUUAACGAACCCAACCCCAGAGGGUAAUGUGAUUAACAAAAAACUCAAGAAGGCCUCACAUAACUAAUCGUUAACCCCACACUGGAGUGCUAUUUUAAGGGAAAGACUAAAAGAAGGGGAAGGAACUCGGCAAACACAAGCCUCGCCUGUUUACCAAAAACAUCGCCUCCUGCAACUAAACUGAGUAUAGGAGGUCCAGCCUGCCCAGUGACUACGGGUUCAACGGCCGCGGUAUCUUGACCGUGCAAAGGUAGCGCAAUCACUUGUCUCUUAAAUAGAGACCUGUAUGAAUGGCUAGACGAGGGCUUAACUGUCUCCCCCUUCCAGUCAGUGAAAUUGAUCUAUCCGUGCAGAAGCGGGUAUAAAUAUACAAGACGAGAAGACCCUUUGGAGCUUAAGGUACAAAAUUCAGCCACGUUAAACAACUCUAUAAGAAGCAAGAACUUAGUGAUAAUGAAAUUUUACCUUCGGUUGGGGCGACCGCGGAGGAAAAACAAGCCUCCGAGUGGACUGGGCCGAAUCCCUGAAGCCAAUAGAGACAUCUAUAAGCCGCAGAACAUCUGACCAAAAAUGAUCCGGCUAAAAGCCGAUCAACGAACCAAGUUACCCAAGGGAUAACAGCGCAAUCCCCUCCCAGAGCCCAUAUCUACGAGGGGGUUUACGACCUCGAUGUUGGAUCAGGACAUCCUAAUGGUGC
rnacentral:rRNA from 1 species